GUCAAAAGGAGCCUGUUGAGUGAUAUGAAAAGUCAUGCAAUCUAACAGUUAAAAUGCUCUUAAUCAAGUAAAAGUUAUAUUAUGCUAUUGAUCACAGAAGAAUCACAAUUUCUUAAGAUGAUUGUUACGGCU